GACCUCGUUCAGGGCAGCUGGCGGGGCAGUGGAGAUGCUCUUGGGACCUGCUGUAGGGUGCAGCCUGGGCUUCCUGGUUUUGGUGGCAGGGAGGGCCAAGGGUGCUCCGUGUCCGUGUCCCUGACAGGUCAGUGUUCCCAAUGGAUCCCAUCACAUGGGUGAUGGGUAUCCCCCACUCACCUUCGCCCAUGGAGGCAUGAGGCCCUAUUUGGACACAUGUCCUCCUCCUUUCCCCUAGAUGGUGAACCCAGAGGAAGACUUGCAUUGGGCCCAAUGUCUCUGGGCUUGUGUCCGUCAGCCAUGUGCCCAGCCCCUGGUGCACUGAAGCUCAGGUCCUUCUUGGCACCCUGGUGUCCUGCACUGAGCUGUGGUGAGCCUCUCUGCGUCACACUGGAUGCAUGUGUGGGAGGAGGUUGGCUUCAGUUGGGUCAAUGAUGAGAACCUCAUAUUGUCCUGAAGAGAGGUGAUGACUUAAAAAUCAUGCUCAAUAGGAUUACGCUGAGGCCCAACCUUGCUGAGAAUUUUGGAAGAGGACACUGGGAUCUCGAGGUCCCUGGCAGACCGCUGUAUUUUUGGUUGGAGACCUCAAGGCCCUGAAGGGCAUCUUGGUGCCCCCCAACCUUGUCUCUGUGCUCCUCUGUGAGGCAACCGAGGCUCCCUGUGGGGGCUUGGUGUCAGAGUCCUAUUACCUGGGGGCGAGGCAGGUUGGUGGCUCCUCCCUGAGUCUCCCUUAUCCUUUGUGUCUUUCAGUGAGCUCUUCUGCCCAGGUGGGCCCCCUGGCAUUGACUGGCAUAGAUGGGUCCCAUGGAAGACAUCUUCUCUGAAGACCUGCAGGAGUGACCAUGGUUGAAGCAGCAAAGAGUUUCUUCAGCCCCAUGCAGAGCAGCUCCCAUGAGACUGUGCGUGGGCUACUUCUGAGCCAUGAGAUCAACUCCUGGUGGCAGGAUCUUGGGCCCAAAGAAUUGAGAAGACACCAUGUGGCCCCUGAUUGGUCAAAUAUGGCCUGCUCUGAGUUUGGGAGUGAGCUCUUCAGCUCAGAAGGGCCCCUCGGCCUUGACCCACAUAGAUGUUGAGCCUGGAGGAAGACUUAUGUGAGGCCCAGUGAAGCCAGGCCGGUGUGUGUCAGCCAGGUGCUCAGCCCAUGGUGCGCUGAUGUUCGGGCCCUUCCUGGCACCCUGGUCUCCGGCACUGAGCUGUGUGAGCUCCUUCACCCACCUGAGCCACCUGGCAUUGACCAUAAUAGAUGGUGAUCCCGGAGGAAAACUUGGGUUGGGUCUGCUGUCUCUGGGCCAACGUCAGUCACACAGGUGCCUGGCCCACAGUGUGCUGAAGCUCGGGCCCUUCCCGGAGCGCUUGGCUCCUGCACUGAGCUGUGGUGAGCCCAUCUGUGUCCUGCUGGAUGCAUGCGUAGGGAGGGGGGGUGCCCUGCAUUGGGUCGAUGAUGAGAACCUUAUAUUGUUCUGAAGAGAGGUGAUGACUUAAAAAUCAUGCUCAAUAGGAUUACGCUGAGGCCCAGCCUAAGGGAGGAUUGUGGAAGAGGUUGCU
rnacentral:lncRNA from 13 species